rfam:Wickerhamomyces anomalus NRRL Y-366-8 unplaced genomic scaffold WICANscaffold_3, whole genome shotgun sequence.
GCUUCACUAGCUCAGUCGGUAGAGCGUCAGUCUCAUAAUCUGAAGGUCGACAGUUCGAACCUGCCGUGGAGCA